AGAGUUUGAUCAUGGCUCAGGACGAACGCUGGCGGCGUGCUUAACACAUGCAAGUCUACGAGAACGAGGUAGCAAUAUCUUUAUUAAAGUGGCGCACGGGUGAGUAACACGUAAGUAACCUACCCUUAGAUUUGGAAUAACUCAGAGAAAUCUGGGCUAAUACCGAAUGAUGCAGCGGCACCACAUGGUGAUGUUGUUAAAGUCUAUACGACGUCUAAGGAUGGGCUUGCGUCUGAUUAGCUAGUUGGUGAGGUAACGGCUCACCAAGGCUGCGAUCAGUAGCUGGUCUGAGAGGAUGAUCAGCCACACUGGAACUGAGACACGGUCCAGACUCCUACGGGAGGCAGCAGUGAGGAAUAUUGGGCAAUGCCCGAAAGGGUGACCCAGCAACGCCGCGUGGAGGAUGAAUGCCGUAAGGUUGUAAACUCCUGUUAGAGGGGAAGAAAAAUCCCGAUCGACUCGGGAACUGACUGUACCCUCAGAGAAAGCCCCGGCUAACUACGUGCCAGCAGCCGCGGUAAUACGUAGGGGGCAAGCGUUGUCCGGAUUCACUGGGUGUAAAGGGCGCGCAGGUGGGUUAGCAAGUCAGAGGUGAAAUCCUACAGCUUAACUGUAGAACUGCCUUUGAGACUGCUAGUCUUGAGUAUGGAAGAGAGAGAUGGAAUUCCAGGUGUAGUGGUGAAAUACGUAGAUAUCUGGAAGAACACCAGUGGCGAAGGCGAUCUCUUGGUCCUUUACUGACACUAAGGCGCGAAAGCGUGGGGAGCAAACAGGAUUAGAUACCCUAGUAGUCC
rnacentral:rRNA from 1 species